rnacentral:lncRNA from 1 species
CGAAAAUUGUACUGUUGGUCGCUCUGAUCGUGUUUGUGGCUAUUCAGCUUAGCCAAGCAGCACCGAAGCCUGAUGAUGGCACGCAGUCGCCGACCGCAGAGUCUGCUUCUAAGAAGCCGGGAGACGGCUCAUCUACAAUAAUCUUGGCAAUCACGCCCCCUGUCCCCAAAGAAGUGGAGGCCAAGAAACACACGGCGGAAGCAUCGGAAACGACGCCAGCAGUAGUUACAGCAGUGUAAUAAAAAUAGUUUAAUUUGUACAAAACACCUUUGUUUACAUUACAAUUGUGUGUCUGUGUUGUAGGUAAAUAUAACCGGAAUUAUAUGUAAGUACUUGAAACCUUAAUAAAAAAUAAACAUGUAUA